rnacentral:rRNA from 1 species
UACGUAGGGUGCAAGCGUUAAUCGGAAUUACUGGGCGUAAAGCGCGCGCAGGCGGUUUUGUAAGUCUGUCGUGAAAGCCCCGGGCUCAACCUGGGAAUUGCGAUGAAGACUGCAAGGCUUGAAUCUGGCAGAGGGGGGUAGAAUUCCACGUGUAGCAGUGAAAUGCGUAGAGAUGUGGAGGAACACCGAUGGCGAAGGCAGCCCCCUGGGUCAAGAUUGACGCUCAUGCACGAAAGCGUGGGGAGCAAACAGG